UAACUCGCUCGUGAAGUAAAAUAGCAUACUGCAUACGGUAAAUAAUUUGACAUCUUGUAUCACGAUGAGUAAUAGUACCUCGGGCUGAAGCCAUCGGAAACUUUUACUCAUUCUGAUACGAGAUAUCAAAUUACUUCCCUGGUAUAUAAACUACUAUUUAUUUUUGCAU